AACGCUGGCGGCGUGCCUAACACAUGCAAGUCGAGCGGGGACUGAGGUGCUUGCACCUUGGUUCUAGCGGCGGACGGGUGAGUAACGCGUGAGCAACCUGCCUUGAACUGGGGGAUAACGCAUCGAAAGAUGUGCUAAUACCGCAUAACAUAUCGAGGUCGCAUGGCUUUGAUAUCAAAGGAGCAAUCCGACAAAAAGAUGGGCUCGCGUCCGAUUAGCUAGUUGGUGGGGUAAAGGCCUACCAAGGCGACGAUCGGUAGCCGGACUGAGAGGUUGAACGGCCACAUUGGGACUGAGACACGGCCCAGACUCCGUACGGGAGGCAGCAGGUGGGGGAUAUUGCACAAUGGGGGAAACCCUGAUGCAGCAACGCCGCGUGAGGGAAGAAGGUUUUCGGAUUGUAAACCUCUGUCCUAGGUGAAGAAGAAGUGACGGUAGCCUGGGAGGAAGCUCCGGCUAACUACGUG
rnacentral:rRNA from 1 species